AUUACUGUCAAUCUAUUUAUCACUGCUAAUCUAUUACUAUUAAUCUAUCACUGCUAAUCUAUCACUGUUAAUCUAUCACUGCUAAUCUAUUACUGCUAAUCUAUCACUGCUAAUCUAUCACUGCUAAUCUAUUACUACUAAUCUAUUAUUACUAAUCUAUUACUGUUAAUCUAUCACUGCUAAUCUAUCACUGCUAAUCUAUCACUACUAAUUUAUCACUGCUAAUCUAUUACUGCUAAUCUAUUACUAUUAAUUUAUUGCUGUCAAUCUAUCUAUUACUAUCAAUCUAUCUAUCACUGUCAAUCUAUCUAUUACUGUUAAUCUAUCUAUCACUGUCAAUCUAUCUAUCACUGUCAAUUUAUCUAUUGCUGUCAAUCUAUCUAU
rnacentral:sRNA from 2 species